AAGCAAUGCAGUGAAAGUCCCAAACCAAAACAGCAAAACUCUAGCCCUAGGUUCUUUGCCGCCGCCGUCCCCAGGUUCUCAGCGCUUCCGCUUCUUCCUCUUUCCCCUGUCCGGAACCCAGGUAGCUCGGCACGUUGUCCCCAUCCUCGCUGGCUUCUCUGUCCGUGGCUUGGAGCAGCUCGCCGUCGGGUCACCGCUUGCCGUCGUCUCUGCUCUCGCUGGUUGCCGCCGUGUCUCCGUCGAAGGUAUAUAUAUCUUGGGCUAUUCGACAGCGAAGUAGAAGCUGCAAGGUCCUAGUGAUACGUGAAUUACAUUCUACCUGCACUGAAUUUAUUACCCUGAAUUUUCAAGCUCAUUAGGGCUCAAAUCCAACAUGUGUAUCCCUUUUGAUUUUCUGGAAAUCAGGACUUAUGACAAGGCUGCUAUCAAAUACAAUGGAAGGGAAGCAGUGACUAACUUUGAGCCAAGUACAUAUGAAGGAGAGAUGAAAUCUCCAGCCAUCAAUGAAGGUAUAACAAUGAUCUAUUUUGCUCCUCUUAAUGUACAAGUGACUAAUGUCACUGUAAAAUUGAAUUUGUGUUUGUUUUCUACCGGUGGCAGUCCUAAUCUUGAACUUAAUUUGGGCAUAGCAACUCUAGGACAUGGUCUGAAAGAAAACAGGGGGCAACUCCAGUUCCCCUGGGUCCCUUACAGCAUGCAUGCUGGAAGAACAAUGGUGGAAACCAAUGUUAAUUUGGUAAUUGGUAAUCCAUCUUCAAAAAGGUUGGUUGCAACUGAAGAGCAUCCUUCUCCGUGGAAUGGCGUGAAUCCUAGUUUCUUUCCCAAUUAGGUUGGAGGAGAGGCAACGUGCUGAAAAGAAAAUAAGGGAGGCCAAAGGGGAAACCUUCAAAACAAAGUGGUUUGAUAUAACUGAAGAAGUGGCAACCACUCCUUAGGAUGAC